rnacentral:rRNA from 1 species
GGAGGGUGCAAGCGUUAAUCGGAAUCACUGGGCGUAAAGCGCGCGUAGGCGGUUUAAUAAGUCAGAUGUGAAAGCCCCGGGCUCAACCCGGGAAUUGCAUUUGAAACUGUCUCACUAGAGUGUGGUAGAGGGAGGUGGAAUUCCGCGUGUAGCGGUGAAAUGCGUAGAGAUGCGGAGGAACACCAGUGGCGAAGGCGGCCUCCUGGACCAACACUGACGCUCAGGUGCGAAAGCGUGGGGAGCAAACAGGAUUAGAUACCCUGGUAGUCCACGCCGUAAACGAUGGGUACUAGCCCGUUGGAGGAGUCUAUCCUUUAGUGGCGCAGCUAACGCGUUAAGUACCCCCGCCUGGGGAGUACGGCCGCAAGGUUA